rnacentral:ribozyme from 1 species
AAAUACAAACAGACACAAGGACCUGAACGACAAGACAUCAACAAGAACAACAAGGGAAACCAGAAGAAACCAAAGAGAAAGAGGAUCGAACCAACUCUCUCUCUCUCUCUCUUUUUGUUUUCUUUUUUUCUUUUCUU